AACGAACGCUGGCGGCAUGCCUAAUACAUGCAAGUCGAACGAGAUCUUCGGAUCUAGUGGCGCACGGGUGCGUAACGCGUGGGAAUCUGCCCUUGGGUUCGGAAUAACAUCGGGAAACUGAUGCUAAUACCGGAUGAUAUCGAAAGAUCAAAGAUUUAUCGCCCAGGGAUGAGCCCGCGUAGGAUUAGCUAGUUGGUGGGGUAAAGGCUCACCAAGGCGACGAUCCUUAGCUGGUCUGAGAGGAUGAUCAGCCACACUGGGACUGAGACACGGCCCAGACUCCUACGGGAGGCAGCAGUAGGGAAUAUUGGACAAUGGGGGCAACCCUGAUCCAGCAAUGCCGCGUGAGUGAUGAAGGCCUUAGGGUUGUAAAGCUCUUUUACCCGGGAUGAUAAUGACAGUACCGGGAGAAUAAGCCCCGGCUAACUCCGUGCCAGCCGCCGCAGUAACAC
rnacentral:rRNA from 1 species